rnacentral:rRNA from 1 species
CACGUGGGUAACCUGCCCUUAAGUGGGGGAUAACAUUUGGAAACAGAUGCUAAUACCGCAUAAAUCCAAGAACCGCAUGGUUCUUGGCUGAAAGAUGGCGUAAGCUAUCGCUUUUGGAUGGACCCGCGGCGUAUUAGCUAGUUGGUGAGGUAACGGCUCACCAAGGCAAUGAUACGUAGCCGAACUGAGAGGUUGAUCGGCCACAUUGGGACUGAGACACGGCCCAAACUCCUACGGGAGGCAGCAGUAGGGAAUCUUCCACAAUGGACGCAAGUCUGAUGGAGCAACGCCGCGUGAGUGAAGAAGGCUUUCGGGUCGUAAAACUCUGUUGUUGGAGAAGAAUGGUCGGCAGAGUAACUGUUGUCGGCGUGACGGUAUCCAACCAGAAAGCCACGGCUAACUACGUGCCAGCAGCCGCGGUAAUACGUAGGUGGCAAGCGUUAUCCGGAUUUAUUGGGCGUAAAGCGAGCGCAGGCGGUUUUUUAAGUCUGAUGUGAAAGCCCUCGGCUUAACCGAGGAAGUGCAUCGGAAACUGGGAAACUUGAGUGCAGAAGAGGACAGUGGAACUCCAUGUGUAGCGGUGAAAUGCGUAGAUAUAUGGAAGAACACCAGUGGCGAAGGCGGCUGUCUGGUCUGUAACUGACGCUGAGGCUCGAAAGCAUGGGUAGCGAACAGGAUUAGAUACCCUGGUAGUCCAUGCCGUAAACGAUGAAUGCUAGGUGUUGGAGGGUUUCCGCCCUUCAGUGCCGCAGCUAACGCAUUAAGCAUUCCGCCUGGGGAGUACGACCGCAAGGUUGAAACUCAAAGGAAUUGACGGGGGCCCGCACAAGCGGUGGAGCAUGUGGUUUAAUUCGAAGCAACGCGAAGAACCUUACCAGGUCUUGACAUCUUUUGAUCACCUGAGAGAUCAGGUUUCCCCUUCGGGGGCAAAAUGACAGGUGGUGCAU